AUACGGAGGGUGCAAGCGUUAAUCGGAAUUACUGGGCGUAAAGCGUACGUAGGCGGUUCGUUAAGUUAGAUGUGAAAGCCCCGGGCUUAACCUGGGAACUGCAUUUAAAACUGGCGAACUAGAGUUGAGUAGAGGGGAGUGGAAUUUCAGGUGUAGCGGUGAAAUGCGUAGAGAUCAGAAGGAACACCAGUGGCGAAGGCGACUCCCUGGACUCAAACUGACGCUCAGGUACGAAAGCGUGGGUAGCAAACGGGAUUAGAAACCCCAGUAGUCC
rnacentral:rRNA from 1 species